rnacentral:rRNA from 1 species
CGUAGGUGGGAAGGGCAGUCAGAUGUGAAAUCCCGAAGCUCAACUUCGGAACUGCAUCUGAAACUCCCUUUCUUGAGGGUAGGCGGAGAAAAUAGAAUUCCACAAGUAGCGGUGAAAUGCGUAGAUAUGUGGAAGAAUGCCGGUGGCGAAAGCGAUUUUCUAGCUUAUUCCUGACACUGAGGCGCGAAAGCAAGGGGAUCAAACA